rnacentral:rRNA from 1 species
GAUGAACGCUGGCGGCGUGCUUAACACAUGCAAGUCGAACGGAAAGGCCCAAGCUUGCUUGGGUACUCGAGUGGCGAACGGGUGAGUAACACGUGGGAGAUCUGCCCUGCACUUCGGGAUAAGCCUGGGAAACUGGGUCUAAUACCGGAUAGGACCACUUCUUGGAUGUUGUGGUGGAAAGUUUUUUCGGUGUGGGAUGAGCUCGCGGCCUAUCAGCUUGUUGGUGGGGUAAUGGCCUACCAAGGCGUCGACGGGUAGCCGGCCUGAGAGGGUGUACGGCCACAUUGGGACUGAGAUACGGCCCAGACUCCUACGGGAGGCAGCAGUGGGGAAUAUUGCACAAUGGACGCAAGCCUGAUGCAGCGACGCCGCGUGGGGGAUGACGGCCUUCGGGUUGUAAACUCCUUUCGCUAGGGACGAAGCGUUUUGUGACGGUACCUGGAGAAGAAGCACCGGCUAACUACGCG